rnacentral:rRNA from 1 species
UACGUAGGGGGCUAGCGUUGUCCGGAAUCAUUGGGCGUAAAGCGCGCGUAGGCGGCCCGGUAAGUCCGCUGUAAAAGUCAGAGGCUCAACCUUUGAAUGUCAGUGGAUACUGUCGGGCUUGAGUACGGAAGAGGCGAGUGGAAUUCCUGGUGUAGCGGUGAAAUGCGCAGAUAUCAGGAGGAACACCAAUUGCGAAGGCAGCUCGCUGGGACGUUACUGACGCUGAGACGCGAAAGCGUGGGGAGCAAACAGG